GACGUAGGGGGCAAGCGUUGUCCGGAUUUAUUGGGCGUAAAGAGCUCGUAGGCGGCUCAGAAAGUCGGGUGUGAAACCUCCAGGCUCAACCUGGAGACGCCACCUGAUACUGCUGUGGCUAGAGUCCGGUAGGGGAGCACGGAAUUCCCGGUGUAGCGGUGAAAUGCUUAGAUAUCGGGAGGAACACCAGUGGCGAAGGCGGUGCUCUGGGCCGGAACUGACGCUGAGGAGCGAAAAGCGUGGGUAGCAAACAGG
rnacentral:rRNA from 1 species